UCCCUGGUAGUAUAUCGGUUAGUACACGCGCCUGUCAUUGUCCAUGAGUGAUCGCGCGAAAGCUGGGUUCGACUCCCAGCCAGGGAG
rnacentral:tRNA from 1 species